rnacentral:tRNA from 1 species
CGGAAUGUAGUGAAGUGGUAUAACGCCGACCUUGGGAGUCGGUGUCGGAGGUUCGAUUCCUCCCAUUCCGA